CCAUCCAUCCAUUUCCAGAAGCUUCACUCGUUUUUCUUCUUCUCUGUGCUUUCCGUUUCACCAGUUCGAAUCUCUAGCAUUUUAGCUCGCAUAGUACACGGUAUUUCACAGCUCGACAAUGAUUCUUGUGAAGCGCAAGAACAUAAGGUCUUAUGGGUUCGUUUAAUCGUUUCUCUCCGUUUUUUUCAAUACCCAUCUGAGAUGUGUAGAUCGUACCAGUUCACUUCAAUUUCUAGAUUGAAUCUUGCAGAAAAGGUUUUGCAGGUUUAAAAUAUGAUUACUUGCUAAGUCUUAUUGAAGCACAGAUACGAUAAAAUUAAUACUCUUUGAUGCACAUGCAUGACUGUACUACAGUAUUUGCCAAAAAAAGAUAAGUUUAAUUUUAAUGAGUUCCUAACCAGAACUAAAAGUAAUGCUAUGCAUAUUGUGUUCUUGCAUUGUUGAGUGUUGUGAUAUAAUUCUAAUGUAUAGUCUGAUAAGAGUACAUCUCAUCUCCUUAGUCAUGUUUGGAAUUGAGAUACCCAUAUUUUUACACUCAAUCCAUGCUCUGCUUUGGUAUUCAAAUCGAUGAACCAAUAAUUUAUUUUUUUGCCUUUUUUAUUAAUCUCAAGGUGAACUACUUGAGGUUAUACUUAACCCUGUACAAAUUAAUGUUAAUUAGGUUAGUUCAACAAUUUGGCAAGUUGACCCUUUAUUUCUUUAAUUACUACUUCAUCCCAGUUACUUUUAUAUGUUGAAUCAAUAGUCAGAGUACUUUCUCAUUUAUUUACCCAAAAAAUAGAAGAGAGCUUUCUCAUAUAUAUUGCUAACAUGUACAGGAGUUAUGCAUAUAAACCAAUGAAAUAUAUUGAUGGAAAACAGCAAAUGCGGCUUUGAUAUACACUUAAACCAAAUGGCUGAGAUAAAAAAACCAAGCUGCAAAAAAGAUAAGUUCCUUUCUAGCAUUAUAAACAAUAUUAUACUAAGUUGAGAUUAUUAACUGUUAUACAAUUUUUAAUCAUACAUACACCAUUUUGUUAAAUAGGAUUAAGAUUAGGGUUAUGAUGUUUUAACCAUUACGAAUCUGGGUGUAAAUACUCAAUAUUAACAGGUAAUGCUGGAAAUUGACAUUCUGCGUUAAUCUGGCUUUCAUUGCAUUGAAGAUGACAUGUUAAAUUUAUUGUCAGGAAGCCAUUAUCUGUUGCUGAACUUGAUAGGCCCUCCGGAUUGAGAGUUGCAGAACAUUUCAAGACUUGAAUCAUAAAGUACAGAGCAAUCAGAAUUUAAUGGCCGCAGAUGUGUUCCUAGGCCGAACAUCUCAGGCAAGGAUGUACAUGGAUGCAGCUCUGUAUUUGUUGUAUUGAAAUUGUAUAUUUGUAGUUAUAGUACCUGUAUAUAUAGUUGUAGCCAUGGUUUCGGAUCUGGUAUUAAAUGUUUCUCGAUAGAUGAGAAAUCUAUUGAGAAUCGAGGCGUCCAGCCGUAAUCAAUCAACAAUUUGAAUAUGUUAAUCGAAAUUCGAAAGGUUUUUAGUCUUAAUUGCC